AUUGAACGCUGGCGGCAUGCCUUACACAUGCAAGUCGAACGGUAACAGGUUAAGCUGACGAGUGGCGAACGGGUGAGUAAUAUAUCGGAACGUGCCCAGUCGUGGGGGAUAACUGCUCGAAAGAGCAGCUAAUACCGCAUACGACCUGAGGGUGAAAGCGGGGGAUCGCAAGACCUCGCGCGAUUGGAGCGGCCGAUAUCAGAUUAGGUAGUUGGUGGGGUAAAGGCCUACCAAGCCUACGAUCUGUAGCUGGUCUGAGAGGACGACCAGCCACAAUGGGACUGAGACACGGCCCAGACUCCUACGGGAGGCAGCAGUGGGGAAUUUUGGACAAUGGACGCAAGUCUGAUCCAGCCAUGCCGCGUGCGGGAAGAAGGCCUUCGGGUUGUAAACCGCUUUUGUCAGGGAAGAAAAGGUUCUGGUUAAUACCUGGGACUCAUGACGGUACCUGAAGAAUAAGCACCGGCUAACUACGUGCCAGCCGCCGCGGUAACAC
rnacentral:rRNA from 1 species